CAUGGCGGUGCUGGAGUUGGCGGCCGGCGGGAGGCGGUCGGGGAAGGAGGAGCAGGCUGAGCGUCCGAUGGAGUGCGCGCCGGAAAGCACGACCAUUUCGUUCUGGUUGAGCCCCUUGGCGGCGAACAUGGCCGUGGUCAGGGCGAGGUCCCCGAAGGGCGGCGGCAGGUUCUGGAAGGUGUCGUUGGCGCGCGAUACUUUCCCGUCGUACCGGCCGGCCGGCACACGGUAGUUGAUCCUGCCGUAGCUCAGGCUGUAGCUGGCGUCGCGGCCGGCGAAGGCGACGAUGUCGGCGCACGAGACGAUGCCUGGGCAGUGCUUCUCGAGUUUAGCCUUUGCCUCCUCAAUCAGUUCGAAGCCACGCAGGCUGAGGUUGGGGACAGCCGUCCUCUCCGUGUCCG